ensembl:lncRNA
AAAGAGAGAGACAGGCAGAGAGACAGAGAGAGAGAGAGAGAAGCACCUGCUCUCUCUGUGCAUGGAGAGGAAUCGUAGAAUUUAGACCUGAAAAGAACCUUUGAAAUACUCUAAUACAACACCUUCUUUUUAAAGAGGAAAUUGUACUUAGUUGUGUGCAUUCUAAAAGAAGUCUCCACAGUCCUCUGAUAUCUCAACUCUCUCUACACUCCUCAUCAUCUCCAAUGAAUAUCCAAUGAAUCUAGUUAUUAUUCCAUUGUCUCAGCUAAGGAGGUGAACUUUGAUAUGUAAAAAUGGCAGGAAUUUUUAAAAAAUAAAUUUGCUGUCCUAUUCCCCAUACUUAACAAAAUCAGAUGAAGUCAACCUUUAAAAUAGUAAGAGAAUUGAGAAAAAAAGAAUGCAGUAACAUGAGAACCUUCUUAGAACCUAAGGAAGAAAAAUGGAGAUAACUGGAUAGCCAACUUAUUCAUAAAUUGAAGAUUUCUUUUUUGGAAUACAUACAUGAGCACAUAACAGAGAUAUUUCAAAGCCUGAAGAAAAAGCAUAAAGGUAAAAGUGAGUACACAAUGAAAAACUAGACGAUUAAUGGAUUAUUAUAUGUUAUAGAUAUUAAUAGGAUUAUAAUAUAUACACGUAAAUACAUAUAUUAGAUAUUAUAUAUAUAUGUGUGUGUAUAUAUAUAUAUAUAUAUAUACACAUGUGUUACUUAAAUAACACCAUCUUCACCCACCCACCCGCCCAACCACAGGGUACAAAUCUCAGCAUGAUGUGUUUUUACUUUGUUUUUGGUUUUUUUCUUUUCUUGUGCUUGUGCUCAGAGUUUCGUGCAGUCUUUGAUUUAAUUUCCCCCCUCUCCCCCCAGCCACUUGUCUGUGCUGUGACUUUAGUCAAGUCAUUCUUCUCCCCCCUUUAAUCCCCAAUCUCCUUAUAUGUAAAAUGGUAUAAUAUUUUAUCUUCUUAAGAACAAAAACUAUGUUUUACUCACUUCUCUUUCUGUACCACCAAGAUGUUUUUCUGCACAGAGUAGGAGCUCAAGGAAUUAUUUUUAACACAAGAAUGUUGGGAAAAACCAAAUGAGAUCUACCUAAAGGGCUUUAUUACUGGAAAGUGUUAUAUACGUGUACCUUAGUAUUAUUCUUUUUUAUUAUUCUUAGAGUUACUGGCCUUUGUAAUUACAUUUCACAUUCUUCCUGCUUCUAUGUUCUUUUUUCCAUUUAUAGUUAUUUUGAUAAAAAAUGUCACCAAGGGCAAUUCCACAUCAGUGAGGAUUCACUGGAGCUUCACUGUGAAUGGGUGGGUUAUUACUCACUAAUAGAACCAUUUCAAGAUAAAGUUGAAAUCAUUAUGAAUCAAGUAUGGUUGUUCCUAGGUUUAAUUUACUGUUAGACUGUUAAUUAUGUUUGCGUCAAUGCAACCAUGGUUGUUAAAAGUACAGAAUUCAAAGGUGAAUUCCAUAGAAAGAGCUUACUUUCAGAUAUUACAUUAUAUCAGGUAUAUUCUUUAUGAUAGUACACACAUUUAUUAAUAGUAGAAAAAAUGUUUUUCAAGUAUUAGCUAUCAAAGAGGACUAUCUAGAAUCAUGUAUCCCAAUCUCAGUUCCCUUAACAAGACCCUAAAGGGGUUUCCUGUGGUCCUUAACGUAAGAAGUAAUGUGAUGUCCAAAAUAUAAGAGGUGAGAAUCCUUCGCAGAUCAGAUCUUGAAUAUUGUGUUCAGUUCUGAGUCUAAUAUUUUAGGAAGGACAUUAUUGUUCCUGGAGCCUCUCCAAAGAAGAGCAACAACUAGGAUAGUGAAAGGACAAGAAGGCAGGAUAUAGGAAGAUCAUUUGAAAGGAAUCUCGAGCCUGAAUGAAGGGGUGAUCCAGGAGUCAUCAUCGGAGGCUUUCAGAUAGAGGCUGGAUGAUCCCUCUCCAGAGAUGCAAUAGAGGACUUCUUAUUCAGAUCGGAUCUUUUCUGGAUGCAGCCUGAAGCCUCCUCCUACAAUGGCUUCUUAUACUUCAGCAUGUACAUCCUGCCCUGAUAUCUUGACUCUUUCUCUCUAGUCAGUAGUAUUCACAUUUAGUAUAGGAUAUAGGUAAUGGCAGCCAGUAAAAAUCAUUCCAUGGGAAUUACUCCUAAGGAAGAGAAAAAUCAUUCAAUUACAUCUUUUAGAGUCAUAAUACAAUUUACAUCAGAAACAUGAUUGAUAGUACACUGCAGUCAAUAGGCUUAUAUGCUAGUCAGAUGUAUAUGAAUAUGCAAAUUUCCACAACGACUCCUGGAAAUGUACCUGGAAGGUGUCUUCAGAACAAUUAUCAUUAGAUAUAGGAAAAGGGCUAAAUUCAAGCAUGGCAUUAAAGGCAUUGUUAUAUAGUGGGAGAAGAGCAGAACUUAAGUCAAAAAAUCUUAGAUUGACUCUUGCUCUGAUACUUAUUAGCAGAAGUCUAGAGAAAGGUAGUUCUCUGGGAAAAAAGGAGAUGAUGAUGAUACUUUUACCACCUCUUUCAUGGGGUUGUUGUGAAGAAACCUUAGGGUUAGUGAUAUUCUCUGAACCUGUGAUUUCACUGGUAUAUAAAACUCUCAAAUGAGUAAACUAUCUACUGAUGUAGGUUAGCACCAUUUCUAAUUUAUAAUCCUGGAGGGUUGCCUAAAGACUGAGCGUCUCAUGUGAUUUGGCUAGGGUCACAGAAGCAGUCUAUGUCAGAGGUGGAUCUUCCUGGCUUUGAGGCCAGUUCUUUAUCCACUCUUCCACCUCCCUAACUCCAUAGAAAUGGAAGUUGAAGCUAAAUUGUUAUUUCAGGCUGCAAAUCAGAAAAGAAAUUUCAAUUAUUUUAAUUAAUAAUGAAAUGCUGCUAAUUCACAAGUAAAAAUACCGUUCUCUUAUAAUCACUGAUAUUGAUAUAGUACUUUAAUGCUUGCAAAACAUUUUGCAUAUAUUUAGCAAUCACAGUUAUAGAGAAAUGAAGGAUUUCCCUUCAGACCCUCAUAAAUAUCACAAACAGGAUCUAAAAGCAGGUCUCUCCAGACUUUAAGUCCAGAUUUCUUUCUUUUUGUUGUGGUGUAAUUGGUUAGUUCAGUCUGAUUGUAAUCCUAUUGGGGAGUUUUCUUGGUAAAGAUACUGGAGUGGUUUGCCAUUUCAUUUUCUAGCUCAUUUUAUAAGUGAGGCAAUCAAGGUGAAGUGAUCUGUCCAAGAUCACCCAGCUAGUAAGUGUUUGAGGCUGGAUUUAAUCUUAAAGCUUCCAACUUAAGGGAGGCCAUUCUAUGCUACCACCUAUCACUACCUACCUACUCCACAUUUCUAUUUACUACAUCAUAUAUCUUAAGUAUAUAGAAUUUUUUCCUAUGCAUUUGAAUCUAAGGUCUUUGAUAACAAAAACUACAUUAUUAUUUUUCCUUUUUUUUGUAUCCUUAAUGCAGAGCACAUUACCUGGUGCAUAGUAAGCUUUUUAUAAAUACUGAUUGGCUGAGUCACCAUGUAAUCGAAUCAAUUUUCUAGCAAAAUUCUAAUAUUAUAGGUCAUCAAAUUUCCUGCAUGUCAGUUGUUUGGUUUUGGGUUGGUUUUUUUUUUAAAGAAUUUCUAUAAGGACAUUAUAGAUUAUAAAAUAUUAAAGAUAUAAAUGACCUUCAGGAUUGCUUAAUUCAUCCUUCACCCCUGCCUCUAUUAUUGAGGAAGGAGUGAAGCCCAAGGGGGGAGGAGAUUGUUUAAGUCAUAAAAUGAAUUAGUAGUAUGUCAAGAUAGAAGUUGGUCCAGUUUUCCUUUCACUGUGAUACUGCUUUUUCUUUGAAAUUGGAGCAUCCUAGCUUUUCAGAGAUGGAAAAGAUUACAGGGCUAUUCGAGUAUAACUUGACAUGUUACUAGGAAUCCCCUCUAUAACAUGUCUGUACAAAAUGAUCAUCUGGUCUCCAUUUGAAGACCUUCAGAGAUAAGGAUCUCGCUACUUCCAAGGUCGCCCAUUCUGCUUCAAGAGAGUUGCUUUAGACAAACUGACUCCUGUGAAAGAUUUUAGCUUAAAAAGCCCAAGGUCUUCCACUGCAUCCAGGGCCAUUUCCAGUCAUCUUGACAUGUGUCUUACUACUGAACUCAGAUGAGAAAAGGAGGGAAUAUGACUGGUGAAUUUGCACAGCUCUGUCUUACUUAAAUAAAAUUUACUUCUAAGUCAAGAUGUUCUUUGUCCUCCUCAAGAAUGAAGGACAAAUAAUGGCAAACAACAGAUUGCUGUUAUGCAGCUUCCACUUACCAAUCUAGUACUUAAGAUUUAGUGAAGUCACUUCUGGGUUUAGUUCCUUCAACUAGAAAUGAUUUGAUGAUUUGUCAAAAAAUAUGAAUCAUAAAAAUAAAAUAAAAUAAAAUGCUGCCCAAAUCUCGUAGAACCAGAGGGCAAAGUGGAAAUAGAAAGAAUCCAACUCCUGAAAGAAAUCUCAAGAUGAAAGCUUGCGGGAAUAUUAUGGUCAAAAUCAUAGUUUUCUUUUAGGGGAAAAAACAUUGUAGACAAAAACAAAUAGUUCAGGUAGAGAGAAUAGGUGGAGGAAGUAGAAAAGGUAGAUUCAAAAAAAAAGUUGAUUCAAAAAAACAUUUUUUUAAUUUAAAAAAAUGUAAUAACAUUUAACUAGAAGUAAAGGAUCAUAUGGCAAGUUGGGACAUGAAUGAACAAAUAAUGAAUUAGAAAUGAAGUGGAAUAUAUACUGUAAAAAUUAUGAAGAGGAUAAUUUUUAGAGAAACCCAAGAGAAUUUGUCAGAACUGAUGCAGAAUGAAAUAAGCAAAUCCAAGAGAAAAAUUUAUAUAGUACCAGUGUUGUCAUGACAAACAACUUUAAAAGAUUUAAGAAAUCUGAUCAGUGUGAUGACUACCUAUGAUCCUAAUGGACCUGUAUCCUGAUAGAGAAAUGAUGGAUGUGAGGUGAAGAUUGGGGCAUACAUGUUUUAGACAUGGCCAAUAAAGGAAUUUGUUUUAUCUGACUAUGCAAGAAUUUUAUUUUUUAUUCUUUUACAAUUUGGGAGAGGGAAGAAGCAAGAAGAGAGAAGAUAUAUCUUUAUUGAAAAGGAAUAAAAUUAAAAAAUAAUGUAAUAGCAUAGUAAAUGCUCCCACUUCAAAAAGAAAGAGAGAAAGGAAGAAAGGAAGAAAGAAAGAAAGAAAAAAAGGGAGAAAGGAAAAAAGAAAGAAAAGAAAAAGAUAUAAAUAAAGAAAAGAAAGGAAGGAAGGAAGGAUGGAAGGAAGGAAGGAAAGAAAAAAGAAAGAGAGAGAAAAAGAGAGAGAGAGAGAGAGAGAGAGAGAGAAAGAGAGAGAGAAAGAGAGAGAGAGGAGAGAAGAAAAGGAAGCUCUGGACUAAUGAUUCUUAUGGACUUUUCCAACCCAAAAUCUUAUGAUCUUAUGUUAAUAUUCUCUUCGCAAUAUCCUUGCCAAGUGGUCGACCAGUCUCUCUUGAAUGCCUUCAGUGAUGGAUAACACAUCAUCUCCCUAGCCAGCCUAUUUCAGUUUGAGAGAGUUCUUUUAGGAAGUUUUUCCUUACACCAAGCCAAACUCCACCUCCCUGUAAUUUUCCCCUAUUGCUUCUUUCUCUUCCUUCAAGGGGCAAACAUAAUAUAUCUAAUUCUUCUUCUUCAUGAUACCCUUUCAGAUCCUGGGCAAUCUGUCCAUUUCCUUAUUCCCUUUCUUUUCAUAGUGUCUUCACAUUUGUUAUCUGUAACAAUGAUAUGCAUUUUCCCCUUCAAGGCCCUUUGUGUAGAAGGACAUUAGAAAAGGACAUUCCCAGAGGAACCACCUGAUAUUUUGAAAACUAUUUCAACAUGGGGCAAGAGAGUCCUGGGUUUAUCAUCAUUUUGGCCCUAUGUUCAGAUCCCUGGCUUUGUUGCUGUCUAUUUCUAAGUUUCACUUUUCUCAUCUGUAAAAUGAAGGGGUGGCCUAGAUGAUCUCUAAGGUAUAUUACCUAAAAUAUAAAUAUAUAUAUGUAUAUAUUUCACAUCUAGUGGAAGCAUUCAACCACUUAAUGACUAUUGCCAAUUAAUGUACUUUUCCUUCAAUUCUGUUAAUAGUGCCUCAAUGAUGAAUGUUAAUAAGGAGAUAUUUUUGCUUGGGAAGGCAUAUUGGUGUUUGCCUGCCAGACAGCCAACAUUAUUUCCUUUAGGGAAGGGGAUUUGAAAUAAAGGGUUUUGGAAUAGUUAUUUAUAUAGAAAGGCUGGGCCAUUCUGUGUUUAUAGUAUCUCUCUUUUAUAGAUGCCCAAGUUAUUAUUUUUUAUUGGCUUGGGUACUUAUUUGGCACAUUUGUAAACAAUUAUGUAGUUAUGCAGAUGUUGUGCAGUCAGGCCAUAUGCAUUUCCAUGUUAAGAGUAAACUCUUAAAGAGAUUCUCACUGGAUACCAUCAUAAAAGAAUUAUUGCAAUGUAAAAAAUAAAAUCAAAAUGAGUCGACUCAGAAGUUUUCACACAUUCAGGACAUCCUGUAGAUUCUGGAAAAUUAAUUGGAACCUUUUCUGCUCACACAAAUUCCCUAACAGUCUGUGACUUUUCCUGUCCAUGUUUGGGGGAACAAAUAUCCAAGUAUGACAGUUAAUCUAAUGGUACAGCUAUCUUUACUGUUGUACUUUCCACUUUACAGAGAUCUUUCUCUACCAGUCUUUCUCAGGAUGUUAAUUCCUGGCCCUAAUUCACAAUGUUCUGCUAUAGAUCAGGGCAAGGAUUGAAGUCAAAACAGAUGAAUCCCAGUCCCACUUGUGCUACAUAUUUCCUCUGUGAUUUUUGGUCAAGACAUUUCAUCUCUAUGAUCCUCAGUUUCUUCAUCUGUAAAAUGAAAUGAAAGCAGUGUCAAAUCCAGUUUCUGUCUGCUUUUGUAGAAUCCUAGCAAAUAUGCAUGUACAUAUAAUAAACAUAUUAUAUACAAUAUUUUAAAAUAAAAUUUUGUUACAUUAAAAAAUGUAAAAUACAUCCAUAGUUUGAGGGUCAUGUAAAUCACAAGCUAUGGGCAGCAAAUUAUAGUUUGCCAACAUCUGGACUAGGUGAUCUCUGAGAUUUUCUCUACUUUCACAUCUUAGGACAUUAAAUGAGGGAAUAGAAGCUUAUGGCAGAGAAGUAAUGCCUUUGUCUAUACAGUUAGCUAGUGAUGGAACUGAGACUAGAACACAAAUCUCCUAAUGUCAGUUCUGUGUUAUUAUUAGUCAGAUUUUUCUGGGAAACUGCUACUCGCUCUAGUGGAUACUGCUAGUAUGAAUACUAAUUCUAACAUGAAGUAUGCUCCUGAAGUCUAUCAGAAAACAGAUUUCCGUUUUUAUAGCCUUUCAAAGAUGAUAAGAUCUUGACCCAAUCAAUUCCAUCUCUUGAUAGUCUCAGGUCUCCUGUUUAACGUCUGCAUUCCUCUCUAGUCUCUGGUAUAUACAUUAUCUCCUUCUAAUCCAGUUUUUUUGGUAACAAGGUCAUUGGGAAGGGAGAACGGGAAAGAAAGAGCCAUACUUUCUAUUCCCUCUCAGAUUGCCUUGAAUUCUCAGCUUCUGAAUUUGGAAGCUUCUUGCAUUCUGCCAAGUGACUCCAAACCAUUUUGUUAUUUUUAUAUGUAGUCCAAGAAAUAUGAUUUGUUCCUCUUUUACCAGCCAUAAGGUGUUUUCUGUGUAGAGUCAUCUGUCUUUAGUCAAAGAUACAAAACUCUUUGAUCCUUUAAAAUUGGUUAUGGACUUAUGUUACUUUUAAUAUAUUGAUUGAUUUUGUCAAGUUAUCUGGGUUUUUGGUGGUUAAUUAGAAUUUGGAUGGACCCAUUCUUACACAAGUAUAAAUUUAAGGAACAGCAGCUAGAUGGUAUUCACCUAAAAAAAAAAAAAAGUGGGCAUUUUAAAAACAAUAAGAGCUAACAUUUACAUAGUAUUUACUAAGUGCACUAAAUACUUUAAAAUAUUAUCUUAUCUUAAUGGAUUAAUAUGAUGUUAUCAGUAUGAUACAACCACAACAGAAGCAACGUUUUAUAAUUCUAGCCUAUAUGAAGAGAGGCAGAGAGUCUAAGAUGAGAAAGCUAAAAAUCCUACUCUACUCCACCUUGGUUAGAUCAAUUUGCUAGCACUAUGUUCAGUUGUUAUGUCCUAGAAAGUAUAUUAAUAAACUGAAGACUAUCCAAAGAAGGGUAACCAGGAUUGUGAACCUUGUGUCCAUAUCAUGUAAGAAAUUAGAUAUAUUUAACUGAGAGAAAAGAAGACAAGACAGAAAAGAUUUAAUCACUCUCUUCAAGUGCUGAUAAUAUUCAAAAUGAAUAAUAAUAAUAGAAAACAUUAUGUUUUCUGAACAUGCAUUAUUUCAUUUGCUCAAAAAAACCCAAUCGUGUUAAUGAGAAUUGAAAUCUGGUCUUGCACUUAGUAUCUGAUGCAGCACUUAGCAGAAUGCCUAUUACAAUAAGUGUUUAUUGACUAAUUGGAUUUUAAUCCAAAUAUUUAUGACUCAAUGAGCAUUUAUUAAGCACCUACUAUGUGUCAGGUAUUAUUAUACCCUCUAGGAUACAAAAAGAAGCAAAAGGUUCUUCCUGCUCUCAAAAAGCUUACACUUUACUGGGAGAGCCAAUAUAUAUAUAUAAAAAAUUAUACAAACAAGCUGCAUACAAGAUAAAUAAAACAUAAUUAACAUAAUAAGACUCGAAUUAAGAGGAACUCCCAAAUGUGGAAGUCUGGUCUUAAUCAGGUUUAUUUUGGAGGCAGAACCAAAAGCAAAUGCUGGCUUGAUGUAAAGGUGACUUUACCCACAAUUAGAGCUAUCCAAGUGUGACACAGAUUGUGUUUAGCAGUAAUGGGUUCCCUAUUACUGGAAGCAAGUUUAGAUUCCUUUUCCUGAUGUUACACAUGCACAAUUUGAGGCAUUCUACCUUUUUCAGACUCAUAUUAUACUACUCUCUUCCCCACACUCUAUCCUCCAGUAAAAAUGAACUUCUGGACUUAGAUUUCUGGAUUCAGAGUUCUUUCCUAUUCUUCCAUAACCGAUUUGCUAUUCCUGCAGUGCCCUCUCCCCUUCUUUCUUUUUUUAGUUCCUACCUCUUUUUUGACAUCCAGUUGAAAUGACAGCUUCUCAGAGAUGCUUUCUCCUUGUACAGUUCACAGCAUUUUCUUUGAAACCUAUCCCCAUAUUAGACGGUACUAUAUUGUGAGCUCUUUGAGGACAGGAAUUGUGUCUCAUUUAAAUUUUUUAAAACACAAAGACUGACACUUAGUAGGUGAUUAAUCUGUUUAUUAAUUAAUUUUAUAGCUCUUACACUGCAAAAAGCAGUACUUUUCAUCUAAGAGGUACUUCAUAAAGAUUUCUUGAAUUCAUUUCCCUUUUGGAUCUCAUUGUGUGAAUGACAGGAAUGUUAAUAACUUUUAUGCUGUUUUCUUUGAUCUACAGGAGUCUGUUAAUUUCCUUUACUAACACCGAUUAGCAGCUGUUCUGCCACAUAUCAUCUGAGAGAGUUGCCUGAUCCACUGCAUGGUUAGAUGACUUGCUCAGGGUCACACUAGCAAUAUUUAUCCAAGGCAAGACUUAAAGCAGCUCUUCCUGACACCAAGGUCAACUCUCUAUUCACUGUAGCACAUAGUCUGUCAAUUAUAAUAAUAAUAAUUCACA